GAUGAACGCUAGCGGCAGGCCUAACACAUGCAAGUCGAGGGUAGUUACUUUCGGGUAAUGAGACCGGCGCACGGGUGCGUAACGCGUAUGCAAUCUACCUUUUACAGGGGGAAUAGCCCAGAGAAAUUUGGAUUAAUGCCCCAUAGUGUUAUUGAAUCGCAUGGUUUAGUAACUAAAGUUCCAACGGUAAAAGAUGAGCAUGCGUCCCAUUAGCUAGAUGGUAAGGUAACGGCUUACCAUGGCGACGAUGGGUAGGGGUCCUGAGAGGGAGAUCCCCCACACUGGUACUGAGACACGGACCAGACUCCUACGGGAGGCAGCAGUGAGGAAUAUUGGACAAUGGGCGCAAGCCUGAUCCAGCCAUGCCGCGUGCAGGAUGACGGUCCUAUGGAUUGUAAACUGCUUUUGUACAGGAAGAAACACUCCCUCGUGAGGGAGCUUGACGGUACUGUAAGAAUAAGGAUCGGCUAACUCCGUG
rnacentral:rRNA from 1 species